rnacentral:rRNA from 1 species
UUGGAGGGCAAGUCUGGUGCCAGCAGCCGCGGUAAUUCCAGCUCCAAUAGCGUAUAUUAAAGUUGUUGCAGAUAAAAAGCUCGUAGUUGAAUUUCGGGACCAUCAUGUCGGUCGUGCCUCGGUACGUACUGGCAUUGUUGGUUUCUCCCUUCUGACGAACCAUGAUGUCAUUUAUUUGGUGUUGUGGGGAAUCAGGACUGUUACUUUGAAAAAAUUAGAGUGUUUAAAGCAGGCUCACGCUUGAAUACAUUAGCAUGGAAUAAUGAAAUAGGACGUUUGAUUCUAUUUUGUUGGUUUCUAGGAUCGACGUAAUGAUUAAUAGGGAUAGUUGGGGGCAUUAGUAUUCAAUUGUCAGAGGUGAAAUUCUUGGAUUUAUUGAAGACUAACUACCGCGAAAGCAUUUGCCAAGGAUGUUUUCAUUAAUCAAGAACGAAAGUUAGGGGAUCGAAGACGAUCAGAUACCGUCGUAGUCUUAACCAUAAACUAUGCCGACUAGGGAUCGGAUGAUGUUAAUUUUUUAAUGACUCAUUCGGCGCCUUACGGGAAACCAAAGUGUUUGGGUUC